rnacentral:lncRNA from 1 species
GUUCCCUUAGUCCCCACCUUAAUUGAUCCUCCACCGCCCUUGAUAGCUUCUAGUUUUUGCACCAUGUUUCCUCUGUAUUUUUAAGAUAUUGUCACCCUUUGAGAACCUGUUUUCCAAGUUAAUAUUUCAACAAAAGAUUGUCCAGGAGCCUGUCAUCCAACAACAAACGAAAUUACACUGAUUUCAGUCUAUAUGUAGCUUAUAUGCUUCAUAGUUGAGUGACAAUUUUCAACAAGUAGAAAAGCUACAGAUAUUGAACUUGCAGGGUUCUCCAUUAAAGCAGUGCUGUUUUUACCAUUUUCACAGCGACCCAAGGAAAGCAAAUAGAUCAAGAAAAGGCUGAAAAGCUACAUCCAUAGUUAUAUAGAAACAAAAGAAAGAGAGCAAAUCCAUAAAUGUAAUGAGAAAAUUUCCAGUUUUCAUCGAAAUUUCAGGUCAGUUCUUGCAAUAUGAAAUUGCAGGUUUAGAUUAUGAAUCAAUCUCUCAAGCAGUUUUCCAGAUUUAGCAUCAAAUCCCAUCAUAAAAUCAAAACCAUGGAUCAAAAAGAAAACGUUGAUCCCAUCAGGAAACAAGCAGAAACACCACCCAACUAAAUCAAACCAGAAAGUAAGAAAUUUCACCUAAAUCCAGGCAACCAAAAAAUCAUGGAAUCCGAAAGGGGAAAAAAUCGACAAUCUUUUCUACAGCAUAACAAUUAUAUCUGACCUAAACAAGUUCAACACUUUCUAAUCAUAAAAGGCUGACAUUAAAAAGGCUUACCACUUUAUAAUACCAAAGUGCAUUAAAGUGUGAACUCAGCAACUUUGAAGAUGACAGGAUGAAUUGAAAACACAACUAAAAAGUGAAACUGAACUUUAAAUUUUUUUUGUAAAUAAAAAAUCUAUCACAUUUGUUUUGUUUUUCUGAUUAUGUCGCCUUAUUUGAAAUCUAACUUUGUGAUGAAUAGUGUUAUGUCUUAUUUGUUUCUUGUCAGACCAGUCAACCAACACCAAUCAUAGUGCAGCAAAAAACAUGACUUGCCAGUUACCAACCAUGUUCCAAUAACCAAUGGUACGUUGCCACUUAUAAAAAUGUUUACUUUGAGUGCAAGUCCG